rnacentral:rRNA from 1 species
UUGUCUUUUAAAUAAAGACCAGUAUGAAUGGCAAGACGAAAGUUCAACUGUCUCCCUAAAUUAAUCAGUGAAAUUGAUCUUUCCGUGCAGAAGCGGGAAUACAACUAUAAGACGAGAAGACCCUAUGGAGCUUUAAAUAUAUAAUCAAUUGUAAAACAUAAAAUCCAAAAGACUAAAUAUAAAAUAAGACAAUAUGAUUAAAAUUUUAGGUUGGGGCGACCACGGAGAAAAACAAAACCUCCGAGAUGAAGAGAAUAUCUUAACUCAAGAACUACAGUUCUAAAAAAUAAAAUAUUUAACAUAAUUGAUCCAAUACUUUGAUCAACGAACCAAGUUACCCUAGGGAUAACAGCGCAAUCCUCUCCAAGAGUCCUUAUCGACGAGUGGGUUUACGACCUCGAUGUUGGAUCAGGACACCCCGAUGGUGCAGCCGCUAUUAAAGGUUCGUUUGUUCAACGAUUAAAGU